GAUGAACGCUAGCUACAGGCUUAACACAUGCAAGUCGAGGGGAAACGACAUCGAAAGCUUGCUUUUUCUAGGCGUCGACCGGCGCACGGGUGAGUAACGCGUAUCCAACCUGCCCACCACUUGGGGAUAACCUUGCGAAAGUAAGACUAAUACCCAAUGACGUCUCUAGAAGACAUCUGAAAGGGAUUAAAGAUUUAUCGGUGAUGGAUGGGGAUGCGUCUGAUUAGCUUGUUGGCGGGUAACGGCCCACCAAGGCAACGAUCAGUAGGGGUUCUGAGAGGAAGGUCCCCCCACAUUGGAACUGAGACACGGUCCAAACUCCUACGGGAGGCAGCAGUGAGGAAUAUUGGUCAAUGGACGAGAGUCUGAACCAGCCAAGUAGCGUGCAGGAUGACGGCCCUAUGGGUUGUAAACUGCUUUCAGUCGGGAAUAAUUCGUCGGUCGUGACCGACGUUGCAGGUACCGUCAUAAGAAGGACCGGCUAAUUCCGUG
rnacentral:rRNA from 1 species